rnacentral:lncRNA from 10 species
CUAUAUAUCCACUUACAGUAUAAAGGAUAAACUGUGUCACAUCCAAACAACAAAGUACUACUUUACAAAAAAAAGAAACAAACUACUAAUGUAUACAACAACAUGAAUGUAUCUCACAUAUAUUAGGCUGAGCAAAAGAAGCUGGACACAAAGAGCACAUACUAUAUGAUUUCAUACACAUAAAUAUACAUACACAUUUUUUAGAAUAGGGAAAACAAAUCUAUGAUAAAAAAAAAUCAGAACAGUUGUUAUCUCUGAAUGGGGAAGUGACUGACUAGGAAAAGACUUAUAGGAACUUUCUGGAGUGAUGGUAAUGUACUGUAUCUUUUUUUUUUUUUUUUUUUUUGAGAUGGAGUCUUGCUCUGUUGCCCAGAGUGGAGUGUAAUGGCACAAUCUCAGGUCACUGCAACCUCUGCCUCCCAGGUGCCAGCGAUUCUCCCUGCCUCAGCCUCCCAAGUAACUGAGAUUAUAGGCACAUGCUGCCAUGCCCAGCUAAUUUUUGUAUUUUUGGUAGAGACGGGGGUUUCACCAUGUUGGCCAGGCUGGUCUUGAACUCCUGACCUCAGGCCUCUCAAAAUGCUGGGAUUACAGGCAUCAGUCACCACGCGGCCAAUGUAUUGUAUCUUGAUAGGGGUGUGGGAUACAAGGGUACAUGCAUUUGUUAAAGCUCAGAGAAUUGCACACCUAACAUUGUAUGUUUCUCAGUAUGUAAAUUUUACCUCAAAACAUUAUAAAUAAAUAUUGAAUUUUAAUUAGGUUUGCUUUUUCGGAGGUACAGGUUAGCAAUUAUGAAUCUAUCUUCUGUACAUUUUAGGCUUAAUCAAGUAUAUUGGCCAGGCACGGUGGCUCAUGCCUAUGAUCACAGCACUUUGGGAGCCACCGCGCCCGGCCGAGGAUGUCUG